CAGUAGCCACGGUAAUACGUAGGGUGCAAGCGUUAAUCGGAAUUACUGGGCGUAAAGCGUGCGCAGGCGGUUUGUUAAGUCUGUUGUGAAAUCCCCGGGCUCAACCUGGGAAUGGCAAUGGAUACUGGCAAGCUAGAGUGUGUCAGAGGAUGGUGGAAUUCCCGGUGUAGCGGUGAAAUGCGUAGAGAUCGGGAGGAACAUCAGUGGCGAAGGCGGCCAUCUGGACAACACUGACGCUGAGGCACGAAAGCGUGGGGAGCAAACAGGAUUAGAUACCCCCGUAGUCCCUGUCUCUUAUACA
rnacentral:rRNA from 1 species